UUAAAACAUACCUUGAAUCAACUGCGUACACUAUUGAUGUUUUUGUAAUCCUUUCGAACUACUUUAUUGAGAGAUAAAUGCGAUCAAGUGAAGUACGGAUCUAUUGGAGGGAUUGUAAAGACUUGAGCGAGGAAAUAAUAAUCAAACUAUUCCUCAGAUUAGAUUGAUCGUCAAAAUAUAUUCAUCGUCACAAAGUCUUCGAGAGUGAAAUAAUCAAGAAGAAUUAAUAAUGCCUCAAGAGGAAAUUCCAUACUACUUGGACCAUAAAACCAACACAAUCCGGGGUUUGAUCACAUCUGGAACCGUAUUAUUAAUUAUCUUCCUUGUGAAAAUGGCGAAAAAAUUAUAUAAAUACAGAAAAAACAACCUACAGAAAGAUAAUAAUGUUCAACCAGUCAGCUACAAUCAAGGCAAUGUUGUUAUUCACGGCUAUAAUGGAUCAAAUGUUGAUAAUGGCUUUGAUAAUCAAGCUGUGAUCAUAGAGGAGGAAGAUAAGAAAAAAUAAUGUAAAAGAAACGUUGCACCACCAAUAUUUCAUUGAAUUGUAAAUUGCACCCACAACAGAACCAUCCACGUUGGACUUAGGACAAAUCUCGCCAUCAAAGAGGAAAUAUUUUUAUAAGAAUGUCCCGAAAAGUUGACUUAUUUAGAUAAUUAACAUAUGUAUAUAUCUU
rnacentral:lncRNA from 1 species